CGCACAUUGCGCCCCCUGGUAUUCCGGAGGGCAUGCCUGUCCGAGCGUCAUUAAUCUAUCUCAAGCCCGGCUUGAUGGUGGGUCCAACCGCUGUGGCGGUCGCCCCGAAAGACAAUAACGGGCCCCGCAACCCGUGGAUGCAGCGAGCUUUUUAGCACGCGUCCCGGCGUUGUGAGGCGUGUCUUAACCCCAUCUUAGGUUGACCUCGGAUCAGACAGGAUUACCCGCUGAACUUAA
rnacentral:misc_RNA from 1 species